GUGCUUACUUUGGCAGCACAUAUACUAGAAUUGGAAUGGUGCAGAGAUUAGCAUAGUACCUGCCCAAGGAUGACACACAAAUUUGUAACGCAUUCAAUAUAGUU